GAUGAACGCUAGCGGCAGGCUUAACACAUGCAAGUCGAGGGGCAGCAUGAGGGUUAGCAAUAACCCUUGAUGGCGACCGGCGCAAGGGUGCGUAACGCGUGAGCAACUUGCCCGUUUCAGGGGGAUAACCGGUGGAAACGCCGACUAAUACCCCAUAGCAUCACAAGGAGGCAUCUCCAUGUGAUUAAAGAAUUUCGGAAACGGAUAGGCUCGCGUGACAUUAGCUAGAUGGCGGGGUAACGGCCCACCAUGGCGACGAUCAGUAGCCGAACUGAGAGGUUGAUCGGCCACAUUGGGACUGAGACACGGCCCAGACUCCUACGGGAGGCAGCAGUGGGGGAUAUUGCGCAAUGGGGGAAACCCUGACGCAGCAACGCCGCGUGCAGGAUGACGGCCUUCGGUUGUAACUGUUGUCGCAAGGAAGAAAAAAUAGACGGUACCUUAGUGAGAAGCCACGGCUAACUACGUAG
rnacentral:rRNA from 1 species